rnacentral:rRNA from 1 species
UUUUCAUUGAUCUGGAGCGAAAGUCAGAGGUUCGAAGACGAUCAGAUACCGUCCUAGUUCUGACCAUAAACGAUGCCAACUGACGAUCCGUGGCGGUUCUAUUCUUGGCCCCACGGGCAGUCCCCGGGAAACCCUUAAGUCUUUGGGCUCCGGGGGAAGUAUGGUUGCAAAGCUGAAACUUAAAGGAAUUGACGGAAGGGCACCACCAGGAGUGGAGCCUGCGGCUUAAUUCGACUCAACACGGGAAAUCUCACCCGGCCCGGACACUGUGAGGAUUGACAGAUUGAUAGCUCUUUCUUGAUUCGGUGGUUGGUGGUGCAUGGCCGUUCUUAGUUGGUGGAGCGAUUUGUCUGGUUAAUUCCGAUAACGAACGAGACUUUUGCCUGCUAAAUAGUAUGCCUGUCCUCUGCGUUCGUGCAGGUCGCGGCGUCCGAUGCUCCCUCGUGGGGUAUUGGUGUCGUUGUCCGGCGGACGCGGCGCAGGUGUUUACUUCUUAGAGGGACAAGCGGCGCAAAUAGUCGCACGAAAUUGAGCAAUAACAGGUCUGUGAUGCCCUUAGAUGUCCGGGGCCGCACGUGCGCUACAAUGACGGUUUCAGCGAGUUUGGAAACCUGGCCCGAAAGGGUUGGGCAAACUGAACCAUAACCGUCGUGACUGGGAUCGGGGCUUGCAAUUGUUCCCCGUGAACGAGGAAUUCCUGGUAAGUGCAAGUCAUAAGCUUGCGCUGAUUACGUCCCUGCCCUUUGUACACACCGCCCGUCGCUACUACCGAUUGAAUGGUUUAGCAAGGUCCUCGGAUUGGUGCCA